AUUGAACGCUGGCGGCAGGCCUAACACAUGCAAGUCGAGCGAGCGGCGGACGGGGGAGAAAUGUCUGGGAAACUGCGGGAUGGGGGGGGGGAACAACAGGAGACGGGAGCUAAUACCGCAUACCACACGAGGUGCCCAGAGGGGAUUAGCGCGGAGGGGGGGUAACGGCCCACCCAGGCGACGAUCCCUAGCUGGUCUGAGAGGAUGACCAGCCGCACUUGAACUGAGACACGGUCCAGACUCCUACGGGAGGCAGCAGUGGGGAAUAUUGCACAAUGGGCGCAAGCCUGAUGCAGCCGUGCCGCGUGUGUGAAGAAGGCCUUCGGGUUGUAAAGCACUUUCGGCGGGGAGGCGUUACCCGCAGAAGAAGCACCGGCUAACUCCGUGCCAGCAGCCGCGGUAAUUC
rnacentral:rRNA from 1 species